GAUGAACGCUGGCGGCGUGCUUAACACAUGCAAGUCGAACGAAGCACUUUAUUUGAUUUCCUUCGGGACUGAUUAUUUUGUGACUGAGUGGCGGACGGGUGAGUAACGCGUGGGUAACCUGCCUUGUACAGGGGGAUAACAGUUGGAAACGGCUGCUAAUACCGCAUAAGCGCACAGCAUCGCAUGAUGCAGUGUGAAAAACUCCGGUGGUAUAAGAUGGACCCGCGUUGGAUUAGCUAGUUGGUGAGGUAACGGCCCACCAGGGCGACGAUCCAUAGCCGACCUGAGAGGGUGACCGGCCACAUUGGGACUGAGACACGGCCCAAACUCCUACGGGAGGCAGCAGUGGGGAAUAUUGCACAAUGGGCGAAAGCCUGAUGCAGCGACGCCGCGUGAGCGAAGAAGUAUUUCGGUAUGUAAAGCUCUAUCAGCAGGGAAGAUAAUGACGGUACCUGACUAAGAAGCACCGGCUAAAUACGUG
rnacentral:rRNA from 1 species